GUUGAAUCUGUCGUUUAGGUCUUAGCGGGUAGUGUCUCUUUAGCCUGCGAAUCUGGUCCGUCGUAUCAAGUAGUCCAGUGAUUAGGGGCUUUCGGUGUUAGGAUCUCAGGAAUAUAUAUCACUGCUUCAGCUUCUUCGUCUUCUUUGGGAAUGUUCUAACAGUGGCUCAAAAGCCAAGAAUAUUUUGCACAAUCUCUAUUUCUAUCAUUGGAUUUUCAACGGUUCCUGUCUGAUGUUAAUUUUUUAGGUUGGUUGG